UACGUAGGGCGCAAGCGUUGUCCGGAAUUACUGGGCGUAAAGAGCUCGUAGGCGGCUUGUCACGUCGGAUGUGAAAGCCCGGGGCUUAACUCCGGGUCUGCAUUCGAUACGGGCUGGCUAGAGUGUGGUAGGGGAGAUCGGAAUUCCUGGUGUAGCGGUGAAAUGCGCAGAUAUCAGGAGGAACACCGGUGGCGAAGGCGGAUCUCUGGGCCAUUACUGACGCUGAGGAGCGAAAGCGUGGGGAGCGAACAGG
rnacentral:rRNA from 1 species